rnacentral:rRNA from 1 species
AUAUUAUUAAGUGGAGGAAAAGAAACCAAAAGGGAUUCCCCCAGUAGCGGCGAGCGAAAAGGGACCGGCCCAAAGCCGAAUCCCGCGCCCCCCGGGCGUCGGGAAAUGUGGCGUAUGGGAGGCGAAUUCUUCCGCGCGUCGAGGGCGGCCCAAGUCCCCCUGAGCGGGGCAAAGACCGGAGCGGGUGCGAGUCCCGUACGGUCGCCCUCCUCGCGCCGAUCUUCCGUCCUCCCGGGAGUCGGGUUGCUUGAGAGUGCAGCCCAAAGUGGGUGGUAUGCUCCACCUAAGGCUAAAUAUCCCCGAGAGACCGAUAGCAAAAAAGUACMGUGAGGGAAAGUUGAAAAGAACUUUGAAGAGAGAGUUCAACAGUACGUGAAACCGCUCGGAGGCAAACGGGUGGGCCCUCGAAGUCCGAAGGCGGAGCGGUUCAGUCGGGUCCCCGGCGCACGCCGGUUCCGCCCGUGAGAGGCCGCGACCGGUCGGCCGAGGGUCGGAAGGACGGCCCGGCGAAAAGGUGGCCCGCACCCCUCGGGGGGCGGGUGUUACAGUCGCCGGACAGGUAGAGCCGAUCCCCGAGGCCGACCGGUGACGAGAGAGAUUCUCGCGGCGAGGCGCUUCCCCCUCGGGGGAAGCCGGCGAGUCGCGGUCAG